AAAAUUAGAGUGUUCAAAGCGGGCAGAUAUUUUUCCUGCCACCGAAUACAUUAGCAUGGGAUAAUGGAAUAGGACCCUGACCUCCUAUUUUCAGUUGGUUUUGUUUACAGCGAGGUUAUAUCAGGGUAAUGAUUAAUAGGGAUAGUUGGGGGCAUUAAUAUUUAAUUGUCAGAGGUGAAAUUCUUGGAUUUAUGAAAGAUUAACUUCUGCGAAAGCGUUUGCCAAGGAUGUUUUCAUUAAUCAAGAACGAAAGUUAGGGGAUCGAAGACGAUCAGAUACCGUCGUAGUCUUAACCAUAAACGAUGCCGACCAGCGAUUAGGAGACGUUGAAUACAAAACACCGCCGUUAAUCCUUUCGGGGGUUAAUGGUUGGUGAAU
rnacentral:rRNA from 1 species